CGCUGGCGGCAGGCCUAACACAUGCAAUUCGAACGGUAACAGGAAGCAGCUUGCUGCUUCGCUGACGAGUGGCGGACGGGUGAGUAAUGUCUGGGAAGCUGCCUGAUGGAGGGGGAUAACUACUGGAAACGGUAGCUAAUACCGCAUAAUGUCGCAAGACCAAAGAGGGGGACCUUCGGGCCUCUUGCCAUCGGAUGUGCCCAGAUGGGAUUAGCUUGUUGGUGGGAUAACGGCUCACCAAGGCGACGAUCCCUAGCUGGUCUGAGAGGAUGACCAGCCACACUGGAACUGAGACACGGUCCAGACUCCUACGGGAGGCAGCAGUGGGGAAUAUUGCACAAUGGGCGCAAGCCUGAUGCAGCCAUGCCGCGUGUAUGAAGAAGGCCUUCGGGUUGUAAAGUACUUUCAGCGGGGAGGAAGGGAGUAAAGUUAAUACCUUUGCUCAUUGACGUUACCCGCAGAAGAAGCACCGGCUAACUCCGUGCCAGCAGCCGCGGUAAUACGGAGGGUGCAAGCGUUAAUCGGAAUUACUGGGCGUAAAGCGCACGCAGGCGGUUUGUUAAGUCAGAUGUGAAAUCCCCGGGCUCAACCUGGGAACUGCAUCUGAUACUGGCAAGCUUGAGUCUCGUAGAGGGGGGUAGAAUUCCAGGUGUAGCGGUGAAGUGCGUAGAGAUCUGGAGGAAUACCGGUGGCGAAGGCGGCCCCCUGGACGAAGACUGACGCUCAGGUGCGAAAGCGUGGGGAGCAAACAGG
rnacentral:rRNA from 1 species